rnacentral:lncRNA from 1 species
CCCUUAUAACCUCAACUACUUGAAAAUACAAAUCAAAAACACUAACAACAGAUAACAGACUCAACAUAAUUGCUACAACUACAACUUUUUUGGACCACAUCAUGUGUUCUUUCAUGAUUAUUUGAAUUUCUUUUUUAUUAGCUUGCAAAUCAUCCAUGUCUAUAGCAUUAUCCAUCUCAUUUUCUUCCUUCAUGGCUUAAUUUUUUCCCCAAUCUUUAACCCACAUUAA